GGAGCAAGCGAAGUAAACAAGGAGAACCCUAAGGUACUUCUAAUUAAAGGAUAUGAUAUAGGGCAACAAUCCAAAUAUCUGUAUCUAAUCAACGCGAUUGCGGCCAACUGCAUAGCUGGCGCCACCACGCAGGCACCGUCAACUGUUAUGAUAAAUAUUUUCCACAUUCCUCCAGAAAACAGCACGGGGCUGAUUAGAAGGUCUUCAUUUACUUGUUCACUUCAAACCUCCACAAAUAUCUAAAACUGGACCAGAAGCAUCUAUUAUUAAUGAAUUGAUACGUUUAAAAGAAAAAAAGAUUACAUCUAUCAUGAGAUAAUUUAAUCAACAAUAAAGAUGAUGUACUGCAACAACAGAUUUCCAAACUCCAAUUGAUGUGAUUUUCACAAAUAUCAGACAGCAAUAUUGUGGAGUAUACGAAACAUACUUUUCGGAUCACAAACCAAUUUUCAUCAAACUUGAUGUAAAUGGUGCCGACGUCUAUGAGGAGAGAAGUGUUUCACAAUUAUUUGACAGUUUAAGUAUUUCGAAAGACGAGAAUAUCAAUAAAGAAAAUGUUUAUCAAAAACUUGCAACUUUGUACGUUUCUGAAAAAGUUGAUCUUUAUGAGGAUGAAAAUAAGGAUUCCUGUGUGAUUAAUAUAAGUGAUUAGGAUGUAGAUUAUGAUUCUUUUAAUUU